UAAUAUCCAUCAACGACCACAAGGAAAAAAUCUGCCAACUCUGCACUAGCCUAAAGUAAACGGCAAAACUCGUGAAUCCUCUGUGCAUCUAUGUUCAACUUCAGGUUAACCAGGGGUGA